GGUCCACCAUAUACAUGGCCGGAAUGUAAAAAAGGAGGAAAAUCCACUAUAUAAUGAGUUCUCCAAUUUCCAAUACAAUAAGCUGCACAAAGGGCAGUGGCUUGAAACAUGGGGGAAGUAAAAUCCAUUACUGUGCCAGACUUUGAUUUGAAUUCAUCUUCAUAGCUUUUUAAACAGAUAAGCGAGAGUGAAGUUGCAAAGGUGAAAGUGUGAUGGGAUAAGAAUAGGAAUAAAGAGUCAUAACAUCAGGCAGACAGGGAGGCCUAGAGCUAUGCUGGUACUCUUGAAAUAGUUACCUGGAACCAACUUGAAGCGAUGGAUUAAUACUUAUGAUUGAGCUGAAUUGUUUUGAUCAAUUAUGUACAAAAAUUGUAUUAAGUAAAUAAACUGUCUUUGCAC
rnacentral:sRNA from 1 species